rnacentral:rRNA from 1 species
CUUGGUCAUUUAGAGGAGUAAAAGUCGUAACAAGGUUUCCGUAGGUGAACCUGCGGAAGGAUCAUUACAGAAAGUAAACGCGGAUCAAACCGCGAACUUCUAAACCUUUGACGAUUGACUCAUGUUGCCUCGGCGGGUUCUCCCGCCAGAGGAUACAUCAAAACUCCUGUUUUAACGGUGUUGUCUGAGCUACAAGCAACGAAUCAAAACUUUCAACAACGGAUCUCUUGGUUCUGGCAUCGAUGAAGAACGCAGCGAAAUGCGAUAAGUAGUGUGAAUUGCAGAAUUCAGUGAAUCAUCGAAUCUUUGAACGCACAUUGCGCCCCUUGGUAUCCCGAGGGGCAUGCCUGUUCGAGCGUCAUUUCACCACUCAAGCCUGGCUUGGUGUUGGGCGACGUCCCCUUUGGGGACGCGCCUCGAAACGCUCGGCGGCGUGGCACCGGCUUUAAGCGUAGCAGAAUCUUUCGCUUUGAAAGUCGGGGCCCCGUCUGCCGGAAGACCUACUCGCAAGGUUGACCUCGGAUCAGGCAGGGAUACCCGCUGAACUUAAGCAUAUCAAUAAGCGGAGGA